rnacentral:rRNA from 1 species
UUUUCAGCAGCCGCGGUAAUACAGAGGUCUCAAGCGUUGUUCGGAAUUACUGGGCGUAAAGGGUGCGCAGGCCGCGCGGACAGUCAAAUGUGAAAUUCAGGGGCUCAACCCCUGCAUUGCGCUUGAUACUUCCGCGCUCGAGCCUUGGAAAGGAGUCUGGAAUUCUCGGUGUAGCAGUGAAAUGCGUAGAUAUCGAGAGGAACACUAAGGGCGAAGGCAAGACUCUGGACAAGUGCUGACGCUCAUGCACGAAGGCUAGGGUAGCGAACGGGAUUAGAAACCCCAGUAGUCC